UGGGGAAUUUUGGACAAUGGGCGCAAGCCUGAUCCAGCAAUGCCGCGUGCAGGAUGAAGGCCUUCGGGUUGUAAACUGCUUUUGUACGGAGCGAAAAGGUCUGCCCUAAUACGGUGGGCUCAUGACGGUACCGUAAGAAUAAGCACCGGCUAACUACGUGCCAGCAGCCACGGUAAUACGUAGGGUGCGAGCGUUAAUCGGAGUUACUGGGCGUAAAGCGUGCGCAGGCGGUUAUGCAAGACAGAGGUGAAAUCCCCGGGCUCAACCUGGGAAUUGCAUUGGGGACUGCAAGGCUAGAAUCUGGCAGAGGGGGGUAGAAUUCCACGUGUAGCAGUGAAAUGCGUAGAUAUGUGGAGGAACACCGAUGGCGAAGGCAGCCCCCUGGGUCAAGAUUGACGCUCAUGCACGAAAGCGUGGGGAGCAAACA
rnacentral:rRNA from 1 species